GAAAGGUGUGCUAAUACCGCAUAAUCUCUGAGGAGAAAAGCAGGGGAUCGCAAGACCUUGCGCUUUUGGAGCGGCCGAUGCCUGAUUAGCUUGUUGGUGAGGUAAAAGCUCACCAAGGCUUCGAUCAGUAGCUGGUCUGAGAGGACGACCAGCCACACUGGGACUGAGACACGGCCCAGACUCCUACGGGAGGCAGCAGUGGGGAAUUUUGGACAAUGGGGGCAACCCUGAUCCAGCCAUGCCGCGUGAGUGAAGAAGGCCUUCGGGUUGUAAAGCUCUUUCAGCCGGAACGAAACGGUCACGGUUAAUACCCGUGACUACUGACGGUACCGGAAGAAGAAGCACCGGCUAACUACGUGCCAGCAGCCGCGGUAAUACGUAGGGUGCGAGCGUUAAUCGGAAUUACUGGGCGUAAAGCGUGCGCAGGUGGUUUUGUAAGUCAGAUGUGAAAUCCCCGGGCUUAACCUGGGAACUGCGUUUGAAACUGCAAGGCUAGAGUGUGGCAGAA
rnacentral:rRNA from 1 species